rnacentral:rRNA from 1 species
UACGUGUGAGGCAAGCGUUAUUCGUCUUUAAUGGGUCUAAAGGGUGCGUAGGCGGCGCGGUAAGUCGGGUGUGAAAUCUCGGAGCUUAACUCCGAAACUGCAUUCGAUACUGCCGUGCUUGAGGACUGGAGAGGAGACUGGAAUUUACGGUGUAGCGGUGAAAUGCGUAGAUAUCGUAAGGAAGACCAGUGGCGAAGGCGGGUCUCUGGACAGUUCCUGACACUGAGGCACGAAGGCCAGGGGAGCAAACGGG